AUUGAACGCUGGCGGCAGGCUUAACACAUGCAAGUCGAGCGGAGCGAGGGUGCUUGCACCUUAGCUUAGCGGCGGACGGGUGAGUAAUGCUUAGGAAUCUGCCUAUUAGUGGGGGACAACAUUCCGAAAGGAAUGCUAAUACCGCAUACGCCCUACGGGGGAAAGCAGGGGAUCUUCGGACCUUGCGCUAUAGAUGCGCCUAAGUCGGAUUAGCUAGUUGGUGGGGUAAGGGCCUACCAAGGGGACGAUCUGUAGCGGGUCUGAGAGGAUGAUCCGCCACACUGGGACUGAGACACGGCCCAGACUCCUACGGGAGGCAGCAGUGGGGAAUAUUGGACAAUGGGCGGAAGCCUGAUCCAGCCAUGCCGCGUGUGUGAAGAAGGCCUUUUGGUUGUAAAGCACUUUAAGCGAGGAGGAGGCUACUUAGAUUGAUACUCUGGGAUAGUGGACGUUACUCGCAGAAUAAGCACCGGCUAACUCUGUGCCAGCCGCCGCUGUAA
rnacentral:rRNA from 1 species